rnacentral:rRNA from 1 species
UACAGAGGGUGCGAGCGUUGUUCGGAAUUAUUGGGCGUAAAGCGUGCGCAGGCGGCUUUGCAAGACAGAUGUGAAAUCCCCGGGCUCAACCUGGGAACUGCAUUUGUGACUGCAAGGCUAGAGUGCGGCAGAGGGGGAUGGAAUUCCGCGUGUAGCAGUGAAAUGCGUAGAUAUGCGGAGGAACACCGAUGGCGAAGGCAAUCCUCUGGGCCUGCACUGACGCUCAUGCACGAAAGCGUGGGGAGCAAACAGG